GACGGAGUUUCGCUCUGUUGCCCAGCUGGAAUGCAGUGGUGCGAUCACUGCUCACCACAACCUCUGCCUCCUGGGUUCAAGUGAUUCUCUUGCCUCAGCCUCCCAAGUAGCUGGGAUUCCAGGCCUGUGCCACCAAGCCCGGCUGAUUUUGUAUUUUUAGUAGAGAUGGGCUUUCUCCAUGUUGGUCAGGCUGGUCUCGAACUUCCAACCUCAGCCUGGCCAACAAGGUGAAACCUCGUCUCUACUAAAAAUACAAAAAUUAUCCAGGUAUGGUGGCGGACACCUGUAAUCCCAGCUAUUUGGGAGGCUGACGCAGGAGAACUGCUUGAACCCAGGAGGCAGAGUUUGCAGUGAGCCAAGAUUACUCCAGUGCACCCCAGCCUAGGCAACAGAGUGAGACUCCAUCUCAAAAAAAAAAAAAAGGUAGAUGGGUGGAUAGAUGGAUAAGUGAAAGGAUGUAUGUAUGAAUGGAUGGAUGGAUAGAUGAAUGGAUGAUUGGUGAAUAGGUAAGUAAAUGAAAGGAUGGAUGGAUGGAGGGAUGAAGGAAUAAAGGGGUGGAUAAAAGGAUAGAUGGGUGGGUGAAAAGAUAGAUGAAUAUGUGGAUGGAUGGAUGAAUGGGUGGAUGGAUGGAAGAAUGAAUAGAUGGAUGAAUAGAUUGAUAGAGGAAUGAAUGGAUGAAAAAACAGGAAGAUGAAUGAAA
rnacentral:lncRNA from 1 species